rnacentral:rRNA from 1 species
CCUACGGUGGGCUGCAGUGAGGAAUAUUGGUCAAUGGACGAGAGUCUGAACCAGCCAAGUAGCGUGAAGGAUGACUGCCUUAUGGGUUGUAAACUUCUUUUAUAUGGGACUAAAAUGUUCCACGUGUGGGAUUUUGUAUGUACCAUAUGAAUAAGGAUCGGCUAACUCCGUGCCAGCAGCCGCGGUAAUACGGAGGAUCCGAGCGUUAUCCGGAUUUAGUGGGUUUAAAGGGAGCGUAGGUUGAUUGUUAGGUCAGUUGUGAAAGUUUGCGGCUCAACCGUAAAAUUGCAGUUGAAACUAGCAGUCUUGAGUACAGUAGAGGUGGGCGGAAGUCGUGGUGUAGCGGUGAAAUGCUUAGAUAUCACGAAGAAAUCCGAUUGCGAAGGCAGUUCACUGGACUGCAACUGACACUGAGGCUCGAAAGUGUGGGUAUCAAACAGGAUUAGAUACCCGUGUGUC